GAGCUGCCUUGACCUUGUGUCUGAGGAACAAGUGCUGGAAAUUGUCCUGUGUCUGAGGGGAUAGGCUGAACUCUGGGCCUGUGGUUCUCGCAGUGAGAACUUCCUGCUUUCAGUGCCUUAUGCCAGGAUGCGGAGCCUAACUUUCUACUGCAGGAACUGCAGUCCCCAGAGAGCAUUCAGGAGGGGACAUGUUUGAGAUGCCCCAUGUUUCUGCUGCUCUGUCUUGAUGGUUCACAGUCCUGGGUCACUGCACACUGUCCUCAUUGCUGUGAAGACCACACCACUGUCUGUGCUGUUCUCCUGGGAUGAACAUUCUGGAAGAUUCCUGUUUGCUUCAGGUGCAUUGGUGUUUUUCCUGUAUGAGUGUCAAAUCCCUUGG
rnacentral:sRNA from 1 species